GCUCGGAUAGCUCAGUCGGUAGAGCGUUGGCUUUUAACCUAACGAUCCAGGGUUCGAGUCCCUGUUCAGGCG
rnacentral:tRNA from 1 species